rnacentral:snoRNA from 13 species
UGAUGACCAACCUGUUUUAUGUCGCGGAAGAGUUCUUGAAGACUAUAUUCAUCACCCAAGGCUGAAUUUAAGAC